GCGGGGAUAGCUCAGUCGGGAGAGCGUCAGACGCGUGUUCGAUCCACGUUCACCGCA
rfam:Picea glauca, whole genome shotgun sequence.